AGAGUUUGAUCCUGGCUCAGGACGAACGCUUGCGGCGUGCCUAAGAAAUGCAAGUCGAACGGGCGGCCUUCGGGCCGUCAGUGGCGAACGGUCGCGUAACACGUAGGCAACCUGCCCGGAAGUGGGGGACAACGGCCCGAAAGGGCCGCUAAUACCGCAUGUGGCCGCCUCCUCGCAUGGGGGGGCGUCUGAAGCUUGAUGCGCUUCCGGAUGGGCCUGCGGCCUAUCAGCUUGUUGGCGGGGUGACGGCCCACCAAGGCGAUGACGGGUAGCUGGUCUGAGAGGACGAUCAGCCGGAUUGGGACUGAGACACGGCCCAGACUCCUACGGGGGGCAGCAAUUAGGAAUCUUGCGCAAUGGGCGGAAGCCUGACGCAGCGACGCCGCGUGGGGGACGAAGGCCUUCGGGUCGUAAACCCCUUUUACCGGGGAAGAAGGAUGUGACGGUACCCGGUGAAUAAGCCCCGGCUAACUACGUGCCAGCAGCCGCGGUAAUACGUAGGGGGCGAGCGUUGUCCGAAGUUACUGGGCGUAAAGCGCGCGUAGGCGGCUGUCUAAGUCUGGUGUGAAAGGUCCAGGGCUCAACCCGGACAGUGCACUGGAGACUGGGCGGCUUGAGCGCGGCAGGGGGGGGCGGAAUUCCUGGUGUAGCGGUGAAAUGCGUAGAUAUCAGGAGGAACACCGAUGGCGAAGGCAGCCCCCUGGGCCGUUUCUGACGCUGAGGCGCGAAAGCGUGGGGAGCGAACGGGAUUAGAUACCCCUGUAGUCC
rnacentral:rRNA from 1 species